rnacentral:rRNA from 1 species
AUGCUGCCUGGCCAUGGCUACGACACACGGUGCACAUUCGACGCUGUGGUGCUGGAGGCUCAGCAGUGCCUUGCCGAAUGUGAAACUGUGAGCAACAGAUGUGAGAAGCUGGUGAGGGGCUUGGGCAGCAUGGGCGGCACAGGCACAAUCUUAUAUAUGGGAGCCAAGCUUGGGAGGCAACUUAGAGACAUGGUCCCCGACCAAGAGCAGCGUUGGAAGGUGUUGGCCGACUUUUGGGCAGAGUUCAUACUCUUCCUGGCGCCAUCUGACAAUACAGAGAUCCAUGGGGAGAAGCUGUCCGCUGGCGGUGAGUUCAUGACACAUCUCUGGGCGCUUCUCACUCAUGCCGGCAUUCUGGAGCGGCCCUCUUCCUCCUCUGGGAUUGACCCUCUGCCCUCUGGGAGGGAUUAA